AGAUUGAACGCUAGCGGGAUGCCUUACACAUGCAAGUCGAACGGCAGCGCGGACUUCGGUCUGGCGGCGAGUGGCGAACGGGUGAGUAAUAUAUCGGAACGUGCCCAGUAGCGGGGGAUAACUACGCGAAAGCGUGGCUAAUACCGCAUACGCCCUACGGGGGAAAGGGGGGAUUCUUCGGAACCUCUCACUAUUGGAGCGGCCGAUAUCAGAUUAGCUAGUUGGUGAGGUAAAGGCUCACCAAGGCGACGAUCUGUAGCUGGUUUGAGAGGACGACCAGCCACACUGGGACUGAGACACGGCCCAGACUCCUACGGGAGGCAGCAGUGGGGAAUAUUGGACAAUGGGCGAAAGCCUGAUCCAGCCAUGCCGCGUGUGUGAAGAAGGUCUCGGAUUGUAAAGCACUUUAAGUUGGAGAAGGCAGUAAAUUAAUACUUUGACUGUUUUGACGUUUACGACAGAAUAAGCAACCGGCUAACUCUGUGCCAGCAAGCCG
rnacentral:rRNA from 1 species